rnacentral:rRNA from 1 species
UACGUAGGGUGCAAGCGUUAAUCGGAAUUACUGGGCGUAAAGCGUGCGCAGGCGGUUGUGCAAGACAGGUGUGAAAUCCCCGGGCUUAACCUGGGAACUGCAUUUGUGACUGCACAGCUGGAGUGCGGCAGAGGGGGAUGGAAUUCCGCGUGUAGCAGUGAAAUGCGUAGAUAUGCGGAGGAACACCGAUGGCGAAGGCAAUCCCCUGGGCCUGCACUGACGCUCAUGCACGAAAGCGUGGGGAGCAAACAGG